AUUGAACGCUGGCGGAAUGCUUUACACAUGCAAGUCGAACGAUGAACCUUAGCUUGCUAAGGGGAUUAGUGGCGAACGGGUGAGUAAUGUAUCGGAACGUAUCCAAUAAUGGGGGAUAACUAGUCGAAAGAUUAGCUAAUACCGUAUACGACCUACGGGAGAAAGCUAGGGACCUUCGGGCCUGGCGUUAAUGGAGCGGCCGAUAUCUGAUUAGCUAGUUGGUGGGGUAAAGGCUCACCAAGGCGACGAUCAGUAGCUGGUCUGAGAGGACGACCAGCCACACUGGAACUGAGACACGGUCCAGACUCCUACGGGAGGCAGCAGUGGGGAAUUUUGGACAAUGGGCGAAAGCCUGAUCCAGCCAUUCCGCGUGAGUGAAGAAGGCCUUCGGGUUGUAAAGCUCUUUCGCAAGGGAAGAAAACUUAAGCUCUAACAUAGCUUGAGGUUGACGGUACCUUGAUAAGAAGCACCGGCUAACUACGUGCCAGCCGCCGCGGUAA
rnacentral:rRNA from 1 species